GUGGGGAAUAUUGGACAAUGGGGGGAACCCUGAUCCAGCCAUGCCGCGUGUGUGAAGAAGGCCUUUUGGUUGUAAAGCACUUUAAGCGAGGAGGAGGCUACCGAGAUUAAUACUCUUGGAUAGUGGACGUUACUCGCAGAAUAAGCACCGGCUAACUCUGUGCCAGCAGCCGCGGUAAUACAGAUGGUGCAAGCGUUAAUCGGAUUUACUGGGCGUAAAGCGCGCGUAGGUGGCCAAUUAAGUCAAAUGUGAAAUCCCCGAGCUUAACUUGGGAAUUGCAUUCGAUACUGGUUGGCUAGAGUAUGGGAGAGGAUGGUAGAAUUCCAGGUGUAGCGGUGAAAUGCGUAGAGAUCUGGAGGAAUACCGAUGGCGAAGGCAGCCAUCUGGCCUAAUACUGACACUGAGGUGCGAAAGCAUGGGGAGCAAACAGGAUUAGAAACCCUGGUAGUCC
rnacentral:rRNA from 1 species